rfam:Fervidicola ferrireducens strain Y170 AN618_contig000006, whole genome shotgun sequence.
CAAGCCUUUAAACUGGUCCUGUGAGGCUAGUAAGGCAAAGGGAAGAAAAAAGAAAGCCUUUCUCUGCCUGACAGAGGAAGGCUUUUUUUAUAAGAAAGCCCCUGCUGCCUCACAGCAGGGGUUUAAAUUUU